CCCAUCCUGCAAGAUGGUGGGUGAAAAAGUUGAGAAGCCAAAUGCUAAGGAGAAGAAACCUGAAACCAAGAAGGCUGACGCUGGUGGCAAGGUGAAAAAGAGUAAGCUCAAGGCUAAAAAGCAGAAGAAGGGGAAACCCCACUGCAGCCGAAAUCCUGCCCUUGUCAGAGGAAUUGGAAGAUAUUCCCGAUCUGCUAUGUAUUCCAGAAAGGCCUUGUACAAGAGGAAGUACUCGGCAGCUAAAUCCAAGAUGGAAAAGAAAAAAAAGGAGAAGGUUCUUGCAACCGUUACAAAACCAGUUGGUGGUGACAAGAAUGGUGGUACCCGAGUGGUUACACUUCGCAAAAUGCCUAGAUAUUAUCCGACUGAAGAUGUGCCUCGAAAGCUGUUAAGCCAUGGGAUAAAGCCCUUCAGCCAGUGUCGGUGA